GAGUCCUGAGAACCUCAAUUUCCUUCAAACACUCCUCUUUCUCCUUCAAUAUAUGUGUCUCAGCGGAAAUCUUUCCAGAAGCAACAGCCUCCAGCCUCUUGAUUUCUGCUUCCCUGAACUGUAAUCUCACCAGGCCCUCUAUCCUCUUCUCUCCUUGUUUGGCCUGAUUGAAAUGAAGCAUUUAAUAUUUAGAGAAGUUAUGGAUCACAGUAUCCAUAAAAAUUAUAACAGAUGCAUCCUUACACAUAUACAAUUUCUGAAAUAACUUAUAUGCCAAAAUCUGAUUACAGGUUUAACAUCCAAUUAAAAAGAGCAUAGAAACAAAUCUUUUGCAAUUCUUUCUGUUAUUGAUUAAUAAAUGUCCCAACAUUUUCCGCCACAUAAUAUAAUAAAUAAAAUCUCUAACUGACAAAUAAUAGGUUUGCCAUUUGCAAUUCAAUAUGCUUGAACCCAAUCAAACAAGAGAACCAAAUUCAAGGCUUUUCAAGCUACAAUGCAGCUUACGCAGAUACAUAACUAUACUUUAUCUCUGUUGCCAGUUUGUGCACACGAAGAAAUAUGAAUUUGGAGUGUUGAAAGUACCAACAAAUGCACAGCGAACAUAUACAGUACCCAAGUUUUCCAUUUGAAAGCACGGGGAAGAAUCAAAGGAAUACCUAAUAAUAUGUAAAAAUGAAUUGAUUUGUUAAUUUUACAUAAAAAGAAUUAAAUAAAAAAUAGAAAAUAAUGCACAUAAGAGAACAGUAAGCAUCAAACCACAUACCUUGAACAACCCAUCGUACAUCGGAGUCCAAUUAAUCUGCAAUCAGUAUCAAUUAUUCCGAUCUGCAGAAGAAACGGUCAAAAUAGA
rnacentral:lncRNA from 1 species